ensembl:lncRNA
GGCCGCAGUUUCCUUUCCAUAAGGACAUUACUGACAGGAUGAGAGUCGGCAUUCAUAACGACAAACCAAAAAAGGAGCUAUUCAGCCCUCUGAAAUAUAAAACAGACCAGGAACGAUUCAUCCUUCCUGUGGAAACUACAAACAGAGUUGGAUUCGACACUCAUAAAGAUACCUCAGAGAUCCAGAGCUUUAGUCUUUAUAAAGACGACUCCAAUCAAGAGGUCCUAACAGAUGAUGAACAGCUUGAAUUUCCUUCUGAAACUACUGAUGGGGAUACAUAUACCUCACAGGAACACACCACAUAUAGUGAAAUGGUUACUGACUCUCCGAUGGCUGUUCAGCAAACUACAUCUCUGUUUCGGGAAACCACAACUUCAUCGCAGACUGUUUUGGAUGGUGUAUCCGAGAGUCAAAUUCAUUCACUUCACAUUAACCCCAAUACUUUGGAAACAGAUGGCUCCAAACAAGAAGAAACUAUAUCAAGAGAGUCUAGUAAGGAAAAAACAGCUGUUUUGAAUGAAACUAAAACUAGCAUUGAUGGCAUUCAGUAUGAACAUAUCCUAAGCAGUCCAAGUCCUGUUCAGCAAAGUGUGACCAUCCCUACCAAAACUUUGACAGAACAUGGAAAAUCAGAAGCAGAACUUGAAGAGGAACACAAAAGGCUCUCAGUGGACCACAGAGAACCUUCUGUACACCACAAACAACAUCUUGUUGAACACGUAAAACCCCUUGGGCACCAAAAACCCGAAGCAGAACAUGUGCAGACCCUAGGAGAACACAACACAGAGUUUGAGGGAAAACAUCAGUGGCAGUUGUUCUCUCCAGUUGAGUUCAGUCCAACCAGCCCACCUUCAAACAAACAGUCCCACAGUCUGUUUAACUUCAGAGAGGAGGAGGAAGAGGCAGAGAACACCCUCAGAACACAUUCUAGGUUGGAGAAGGGUGAGUUAACAAGCGAUGCAUGUCAUUUUUUCAGUGUUUCGAGUCCUGAACUGUUAUGCUGAAGAGUUUUAGUACAUAAUUAAUGCUAAUGUGAUUUAUAGUUGACAUUCACCUGGUACCAUAAACUCUUUGAGUGCUUGGCAAUGUGCCAUAGACAAUCACAGCUGUGUAAAGA